UACGGAGGGAGCUAGCGUUGUUCGGAAUCACUGGGCGUAAAGCGCACGUAGGCGGCUUUUUAAGUCAGGGGUGAAAUCCUGGAGCUCAACUCCAGAACUGCCUUUGAUACUGAGAAGCUUGAGUCCGGGAGAGGUGAGUGGAACUGCGAGUGUAGAGGUGAAAUUCGUAGAUAUUCGCAAGAACACCAGUGGCGAAGGCGGCUCACUGGCCCGGUACUGACGCUGAGGUGCGAAAGCGUGGGGAGCAAACAGG
rnacentral:rRNA from 1 species